ACUACGGGUGGCAGCAGUGGGGAAUAUUGGGCAAUGGGCGCAAGCCUGACCCAGCAACGCCGCGUGAAGGAAGAAGGCUUUCGGGUUGUAAACUUCUUUUCUCAGGGACGAAGAAAGUGACGGUACCUGAGGAAUAAGCCACGGCUAACUACGUGCCAGCAGCCGCGGUAAUACGUAGGUGGCAAGCGUUAUCCGGAUUUACUGGGUUUAAAGGGCGUGUAGGCGGGGAAGCAAGUCAGAUGUGAAAACCACGGGCUCAACCUGUGGCCUGCAUUUGAAACUGUUUUUCUUGAGUACUGGAGAGGCAGACGGAAUGCCUAGUGUAGCGGUGAAAUGCGUAGAUAUUAGGAGGAACACCAGUGGCGAAGGCGGUCUGCUGGACAGCAACUGACGCUGAGGCGCGAAAGCGUGGGGAGCAAACAGGAUUAGAUACCCCUGUAGUC
rnacentral:rRNA from 1 species